UACGUAGGGUGCGAGCGUUGUCCGGAAUUAUUGGGCGUAAAGAGCUCGUAGGCGGUGUGUCACGUCGAUCGUGAAAACUUACAGCUUAACUGUGAGCGUGCGGUCGAUACGGGCAUCACUUGAGUUCGGUAGGGGAGACUGGAAUUCCUGGUGUAGCGGUGAAAUGCGCAGAUAUCAGGAGGAACACCGGUGGCGAAGGCGGGUCUCUGGGCCGAUACUGACGCUGAGGAGCGAAAGCGUGGGGAGCAAACAGG
rnacentral:rRNA from 1 species